CCCUGUUCUAGAGGCCACACUCUUAUUAUUACCUUAAACUGACUAUAGAUGUCUUAAUAAUCUAAUACGAUUAUCACCACAGGUUAAUGUUUCUAAGUUGAUCACAUUGAAAUAUCCUGCACAAUGUGGAACAUGUAUAAAUUUUUGUAACCAUGUUUAUUUGUUAUUAUAUUAAGAAGUAUUGAAUAUCCCUAUUUGAAAGGGGCUUUAUCAUCCUUUUCCUAAGGAGUGUUCUGUAUUUGGAAGCCUCAUAUUUUUCAGGUGGACACUAGUGUUUCUUUAGUAGCUUUAGUUACUCUCUAGAAUAGACUUUAAUAAUGAAAUUUAGUUUU
rnacentral:lncRNA from 1 species